UACGUAGGUGGCAAGCGUUGUCCGGAUUUACUGGGCGUAAAGAGCGCGCAGGCGGUCGAAUAAGUCGAAUGUGAAAGCCCCCGGCUUAACUGGGGAGGGUCAUUCGAUACUGUUCGACUUGAAGGCAGGAGAGGGCAGCAGAAUUCCUGGUGUAGCGGUGAAAUGCGUAGAUAUCAGGAGGAACACCUGCGGUGUAGACGGCUUACUGGACCAUCACUGACGCUGAGGCACGAAGGCCAGGGGAGCAAACGGG
rnacentral:rRNA from 1 species